UCAGUUUCUUUGACUUUCAUUUAAUUCAUUGAAUAAAAAUUAACAACAAAAGCAGAAAUGCAAGAUCAGAAAAGCUAAUAUUCUCUUCACUUUUAGGUUUUAGCUGUGGUUAUGUUAAAAUGAAAAAAAAAGAAAAUCUACAAUUUGAACGGGUGUCAUGAUGAGAAGCUACACCACGGGUAGGGCUGAGUGACAGUCAUGUAUUGACCUCUCUAAUGCCAGCAGGCACUGCAUUUUUUUCUCUUCAAAUCUCUCUCACUCUCUGAAAAUUUUUGGGGUUUGUUGUAGAUGUCAGUUUGAAUGGAUUUGCUUGGCCUUUUCUUAUAAUGGUACUCUACUGUCACAGACUCUCUCUCUCUCUCUCUCUCUCUACCCUCAGAGCCUCUCUCUCUCUCUUUCCUUCACUGUGGGGAGCAGUAGUGGUUUGAAUAAGUAGAUUCAGAUUUGAACUUUAAUCUUUGAAGAUUUUACAUGGUGUAAGAUCAACCCUCAAGCUCUCAAAAAGGUUGAAAAUUUUAAGACAAAAAGAAACAAUACAAAAUACAUCAUAGCUAUGGGUUAAUAGUGUAAACAGGUACCUCCGUCUUUACUUCCCAUUUAUCUUCUCCCCCUCUUGAUGCAAAAAACCCAAAAACCCUCUCCUCCUGCAAAACUACAAACCAUACAUGGCAACAUCAAACACCACUUAAGAGCGUUGUUUAAGAGCCCUAGAUCAUUUUUAAGGUAACCCCAUUAAUUACCCCUUUCCUAAAUUAGCAAUAAUCUCAUUGAGGUUUGACUGGUUUGAACACCACAGUAACACAUCCAUCAAAUCAAAUCCACCCUCCAUAAAGGACCCAUUACACCAUUUUUCCCUCCCCUCUCUCUCUCUGAUCUCUCUCUCUCUAGGUCUAGGGGAAUGCUGCAUGCAUUUUGGUGAUGGCUGGACAAGGAGGAAAUGGUACUAGCAGUGUGAUCAUGAGGGACUACAGGAAAGGGAACUGGACAGUGGGGGAGACAAUGAUUCUGAUAGAGGCAAAGAAGAUGGAUGAUGAGAGAAGAAUGAAGAGAAGUGGGGGUGGGGAAGGGGGUAGUAGUAGUAGUGGAGGAACUGAUCAGACAACAAGAUCAAUGGGCAAACCAGCUGAGCUCAGGUGGAAGUGGGUGGAGGACUACUGUUGGAAAAAAGGUUGUUUGAGAAGCCAAAACCAGUGCAAUGACAAGUGGGACAAUCUCAUGAGGGAUUACAAGAAAGUGAGAGAAUAUGAGAGGAAGAUUACUAAUGUGGGAGAAGGGAAAGGAGAAGAAGGUAGUGCAUCUUAUUGGAAGCUUGAGAAGAAUGAGAGGAAGGAGAGGAACUUGCCUACAAAUAUGGUGCUUCAGAUUUAUGAGGCUUUGGUGGAUGUAGUGGAGAGGAGAGAAGCCUGGUGGUGGUGGUGGUUAUCAGAUUAGAGGUCAUCAGGUGGUGGGAGGAGCUUCUGUUUCUGGUUCAAAUGUUGGGAUUAGUCCAAAUAUUGGGUAUGGUUUGGAGAGGCCUAUAAUUAGUACCACUGGUGUUCAUCAGCAGCCUUCUUCUUCACUGCCUCCUCCUCCUCCUCCUCCUCCAGUUCUGCAACAUCAUCAUCAAAUCUCAGUUCCAACAAUUGCAGCAUUGCCGCUUCUUCCACCAGCUACACUGGCAGCCCAACCACCACCUGCUUUCCAAUACGCACAGGUGAUGCCCACAAUUCUGAUACAAGUGAGCAUUCAGACUCACCAGCUAAAAGGAGGAGGCGGGCAAGUGGAAGAGGUGGAGGUGGUGGCUGGUGGAGAUCAAGGAGGAACCAGUGGAACCGUGAGCGCAAGCACCUCAAGUGAAGUGGGAACUGCCAUCGCUGGAGGUGCUUCCUUGAUUGCAGAAGCACUUCAGAGCUGUGAGGAGAGAGAAGAGAGGAGGCACAGAGAGAUGUUGAGUUUGCAUGAGAGAAGGCUACAGAUCGAGGAAACUAAGACUGAGAUCAACAGGCAAGGCAUUAAUGGCCUCAUUGAUGCCAUUAACAAGCUUGCAAAUUCCAUCCAUGCCUUGGCUUCCAACAAGAACCAACAGCCACCUCCAAAUUGAUUAAAUUAAUUAGUGAUCAUCAUCAUCUUAAUUAAUUUACAUUAAUAUUUUCUAUUUAUUUAUAUGACCAUAAGAUAGAAAAAGAGAGAGGUAGAGAUUUCAUUGAUCUCAUUUGGUGAUUGUACAUAAUUUAUAAACCCCUUAAUUUGUCAUAUUUUCCUUUUGACUAGAUAAACCCCAUUUGUGUUUUGAGUUUCAUGUUAUUGGAUUCACUUACUAACGAU